rnacentral:pre_miRNA from 1 species
AUAAUACUCCCUCCGUCUAACAAAAGAUGUCUCAAGUUUGUUAAAAUUUAGAUGCAUCUAGACAUGACUUAGUGUAUUGAUGCAUUCAAAUUUAGUCAAAAUUGAGACAUCUUUUGUUGGACAGAGGGAGUAGUAG